rnacentral:rRNA from 1 species
UACGUAGGGUGCGAGCGUUGUCCGGAAUUAUUGGGCGUAAAGAGCUUGUAGGCGGUUUGUCGCGUCUGCUGUGAAAAUCCGGGGCUCAACUCCGGACUUGCAGUGGGUACGGGCAGGCUAGAGUGUGGUAGGGGAGACUGGAAUUCCUGGUGUAGCGGUGGAAUGCGCAGAUAUCAGGAGGAACACCGAUGGCGAAGGCAGGUCUCUGGGCCACUACUGACGCUGAGACGCGAAAGCGUGGGGAGCGAACAGG